rnacentral:lncRNA from 8 species
AGUGCAACACUUUUUGUCACAUCUGGCCUUUACAGGAGACUAGGGGCUUCUUUAUCAUCACUUUCUCUCUCUCACACACACACACACACACACACACACACACACACACACACACACACACACACACACACACACACACACACACACACACACACACACACACACACGGUUUCCUGUGGCCAUCAAUGUUUUCAUUUGGAAAUGGCUUAAGGAGCCCAUAAUAACAGGAAAAGAUCUAGCUUAUCCCUUCUUGGCAUCAGAAUCAUGGAAUAUCCAGUCCGGUCUUUUUAAAGUAAAGGGUGGAUACCUUACACUGAGUGGCCAAGCUCUGCAGCAAAACUAUACAUUCAAGCUCAAUAUUCUACCUGAAAAAUGGAUAUGAAAAAGAUGCAACUUCUUCAACUGUGUGCCUUCUUCCAUGUCACAGUCUGUAGUCAGAUAGAAGAAGUCGCCAUUUCACCUCCUGGGAAAGAGGUAUUUGUGCUGGCAGGUUCAGCCUUCCAGUUCACCUGUGCUUGCGUUAGUAGUUGUAAGACACCACAGUUCAGGUGGACAAGAGCUACUACUGACUCUGAUGGUAUGCUGACCAAAAACAGCACUCUCAAAUUUUCCAGCGUGAGGAUUGAGGAUGCGGGUCGAUAUACCUGCGAUGCAAAGUGCGAUGGCAGUUCAGAGAAAAAACUAAAAACUGUCAAGAUGACUGUCUAUGCUUUUAGUCAACCUGUGUUGGUGAUGCCAAGUAUUUGGACGGAAAAUGUGGCUUGUGAUGUAACAUGCAGUGUUGAUGCAUUUGACCACGUUGACCGUGUCCACAUAAGCUGGUAUCUAGGAAGUGAGCUUCUUAAAAAUGAAACACAGCAGACUUUGGAUGCAGCUAACGUGUCAGACACACUGACUCUUACUCCCCUGAGGGACCAUACUGGGAAGAAUCUGACCUGUGAAGUGAAAGCAGACAUGAGAAAUAACUCAAAACAGGUCUCGACAUACACUAUGCACCCAAGAUCAACAUCAGUGCUUCCUCAUCUGGGAUGGAAGAGGAGGAAGUGGUGAUGAGCUGCAGAAGUAAUGGCCACCCCACCCCCACUAUUGAGUGGGAGAGAAAAGGGGAGCUCUGGCCCAAGAAUCUGCAUCGACACGCACAAGGAAACGUCACGGGCCGGCUACACCGCAGCAACCAAGGGGUUUACCAGUGUGUGGCCAAGAAUGUGGUGUCCGAGGCAAAGGAAGAGAUGAAACUGGAGGUGCAAUGUAAGUGUACUACUAACUACUUUAGCCAGGGGCCAACAAGCAGGGGUUCCACAAUGCUAAGCUUAAGAUACCUUAUCUGAUGGUACUGGAACUGUAAUAAUAUCCCCACGCUAAUUGUUAUGACAAUGCGUUUUUAUUUUUUUUAUUUCACCUUUAUUUAACCAGGUUGGCCAGUUGAGAACAAGUUCUCAUUUACAACUGCGACCUGGCCAAGAUAAAGCAAAGCAAAGCAGUGUGACACAGACAACAACACAGAGUUACACAUGGAAUAAACAAGGGUACAGUCAAUAACACAAUAGAGAAGAAAAAAAAGUCUAUAUACAGUGUGUGCAAAUGGAGUAAGGAGGUAAGGCAAUAAAUAGGCCAUAGUAGCGAAGUAAUUACAAUUUAGCAUAUUAACACUGGAGUGAUAGAUGAGCAGAUCGUGAUGUGCAAGUAGAAAUACUGGUGUGCAAAAGAGCAGAAAAGUUAAUAAAAACAAUACGGAGAUGAGGUAGGUAGAUUGGGUGGUCUAUUUACAGAUGGGCUAUGUACAGCUGCAGCGAUCGGUUAGCUGCUCAGAUAGCUGAUGUUUAAAGUUAGUGAG